rnacentral:lncRNA from 1 species
UGGUGAUUGAUAUAUAAAAUCAGAUGAUGGAUAAAUAAAGUAAAGUGAUUGGUGUUUGUUAUUUGGUCAUGAACAUAGAGACUAUGGGGAUAGAUAUUGAGAGUUUGGGGAUAAAUAUAGAGAGUGUGUGGUGAUUGAUAUAUAAAGUGAGGUGAUGGAUAAAUAAAAUGAGGUGAUAGGUGUUUAUUGUGAGGUCAUAAACAUAGAGACUGUGGGGAUAGAUAUUGAAAGUAUUGGGAUAGAAAUAGAGAGUGUGUGGUGAUCAUUAUAUUAAGUGAGGUGAUGAAUAAAUAAAGUAAGGUGAUAGGUGUUUAAAAUGUGGUCAUAAACAUAGAGACUGUGGGGAUAUAUAUUGAGAGUAUGGGGAUAGAUAUAGAGAGUGUGUGGUGAUUGAUAUAUAAAAUUAGAUGAUGGAUAAAUAAAGUAAAGUGAUUGGUGUUUGUUAUUUGGUCAUAAACAUAGAGACUAUGGGGGUAGAUAUUGAGAGUUUGGGGAUAGAUAUAGAGAGUGUGUGGUGAUUCAUGUAUAAAGUGAGGUGAUUGAUUAAAAAAAGUAAGGUGGUAGGUGUUUAUGAUGUGGUCAUAAACAUAGAGACUGUGGGAAUACAUAUCGAGAGUAUGGGGAUAUAUAUAGUAAGUGUGUGGUGAUAAAUAUAUAAAGGGAGGUGAUGGAUAAAUAAAGUAAGGUGAUAGGUGUUGAUAAUGUGGUCAAAAACAUAGAGACUGUGGGUAUAGAUAUUGACAGUGUGGUGAGUGACACAGAGAUUAUGGGGAUAUAUAUAAAGAGUGUGUUGAUUGAUAUAUAAAGUGAGGUUAUUGAUAAAUAAAGUGUGGUGAUAGGUGUUUAUUAUAUGAAGAUAUACAGAGAGACUUUUGGGGUACACAAAAAAGAGUGGGG